AGAGUUUGAUCCUGGCUCAGGAUGAACGCUGGCGGCGUGCCUAAUACAUGCAAGUCGAGCGAACGGACGAGAAGCUUGCUUCUCUGAUGUUAGCGGCGGACGGGUGAGUAACACGUGGAUAACCUACCUAUAAGACUGGGAUAACUUCGGGAAAUCGGAGCUAAUACCGGAUAAUAUUUUGAACCGCAUGGUUCAAAAGUGAAAGACGGUCUUGCUGUCACUUAUAGAUGGAUCCGCGCUGCAUUAGCUAGUUGGUAAGGUAACGGCUUACCAAGGCAACGAUGCAUAGCCGACCUGAGAGGGUGAUCGGCCACACUGGAACUGAGACACGGUCCAGACUCCUACGGGAGGCAGCAGUAGGGAAUCUUCCGCAAUGGGCGAAAGCCUGACGGAGCAACGCCGCGUGAGUGAUGAAGGUCUUCGGAUCGUAAAACUCUGUUAUUAGGGAAGAACAUAUGUGUAAGUAACUGUGCACAUCUUGACGGUACCUAAUCAGAAAGCCACGGCUAACUACGUGCCAGCAGCCGCGGUAAUACGUAGGUGGCAAGCGUUAUCCGGAAUUAUUGGGCGUAAAGCGCGCGUAGGCGGUUUUUUAAGUCUGAUGUGAAAGCCCACGGCUCAACCGUGGAGGGUCAUUGGAAACUGGAAAACUUGAGUGCAGAAGAGGAAAGUGGAAUUCCAUGUGUAGCGGUGAAAUGCGCAGAGAUAUGGAGGAACACCAGUGGCGAAGGCGACUUUCUGGUCUGUAACUGACGCUGAUGUGCGAAAGCGUGGGGAUCAAACAGGAUUAGAUACCCUGGUAGUCCACGCCGUAAACGAUGAGUGCUAAGUGUUAGGGGGUUUCCGCCCCUUAGUGCUGCAGCUAACGCAUUAAGCACUCCGCCUGGGGAGUACGACCGCAAGGUUGAAACUCAAAGGAAUUGACGGGGACCCGCACAAGCGGUGGAGCAUGUGGUUUAAUUCGAAGCAACGCGAAGAACCUUACCAAAUCUUGACAUCCUUUGACAACUCUAGAGAUAGAGCCUUCCCCUUCGGGGGACAAAGUGACAGGUGGUGCAUGGUUGUCGUCAGCUCGUGUCGUGAGAUGUUGGGUUAAGUCCCGCAACGAGCGCAACCCUUAAGCUUAGUUGCCAUCAUUAAGUUGGGCACUCUAAGUUGACUGCCGGUGACAAACCGGAGGAAGGUGGGGAUGACGUCAAAUCAUCAUGCCCCUUAUGAUUUGGGCUACACACGUGCUACAAUGGACAAUACAAAGGGCAGCGAAACCGCGAGGUCAAGCAAAUCCCAUAAAGUUGUUCUCAGUUCGGAUUGUAGUCUGCAACUCGACUACAUGAAGCUGGAAUCGCUAGUAAUCGUAGAUCAGCAUGCUACGGUGAAUACGUUCCCGGGUCUUGUACACACCGCCCGUCACACCACGAGAGUUUGUAACACCCGAAGCCGGUGGAGUAACCUUUUAGGAGCUAGCCGUCGAAGGUGGGACAAAUGAUUGGGGUGAAGUCGUAACAAGGUAGCCGUAUCGGAAGGUGCGGCUGGAUCACCU
rnacentral:rRNA from 1 species